UUUCGUUAGCGGCGGACGGGUGAGUAACACGUAGGGUAACCUACCCUAUAGACUGGGAUAACUUCGGGAAACCGGAGGCUAAUACCGGAUAAUACUUUUGAACUCAUGUUCGAAAGUUAAAAGAUGGUUUUUGCUAUCACUAUAGGAUGGACCCGCGGCGCAUUAGCUAGUUGGUGAGGUAACGGCUCACCAAGGCAACGAUGCGUAGCCGACCUGAGAGGGUGAUCGGCCACACUGGGACUGAGACACGGCCCAGACUCCUACGGGAGGCAGCAGUAGGGAAUCUUCCACAAUGGACGAAAGUCUGAUGGAGCAACGCCGCCGUGAGUGAAGAAGGAUUUCGGUUCGUAAAACUCUGUUGCAAGGGAAGAACAAGUAGCGUAGUAACUGGCGCUACCUUGACGGUACCUUGUUAGAAAGCCACGGCUAACUACGUGCCAGCCGCCGC
rnacentral:rRNA from 1 species